GACGAAGGUGGCGAGCGUUGUUCGGAAUCAUUGGGCGUAAAGAGCGUGUAGGCGGCCCGGUAAGUCCGCUGUGAAAGUCCAGGGCUCAACCCUGGAAUGCCGGUGGAAACUGUCGGGCUAGAGUCCGGAAGAGGCGAGUGGAAUUCCUGGUGUAGCGGUGAAAUGCGCAGAUAUCAGGAGGAACACCAAUGGCGAAGGCAGCUCGCUGGGACGGUACUGACGCUGAGACGCGAAAGCGUGGGGAGCAAACAGG
rnacentral:rRNA from 1 species